GUUAUUCGGAAUCACUGGGCUUACAGAGUUCGUAGGCGGUCGGGAAAGUUGGGUGUGAAAUCCCUCGGCCUAACCGAGGAACUGCGCUUGAAACUACCAGACUCGAGGGAGAUAGAGGAAAGCGGAACUGAUGGUGGAGCGGUGAAAUGCGUUGAUAUCAUCAGGAACACCGGUGGCGAAGGCGGCUUUCUGGGUCUCUUCUGACGCUGAGAUACGAAAGCCAGGGGAGCGAAGGGG
rnacentral:rRNA from 1 species